rnacentral:rRNA from 1 species
GUCUACGGCCAUGCUACCCUGAACAUGCCCAAUCCCGUCUGAUCUCGGAAGCUAAACAGGGACGGGCCUGGUUAGUACUUGGAUGGGAGACCACCUAGGAAGGCCAGGUGCUGUAGGUG